UACGGGGGGGGCAAGCGUUGUUCGGAAUUACUGGGCGUAAAGGGCUCGUAGGUGGCCAACUAAGUCAGACGUGAAAUCCCCAGGCUUAACCUGGGAACUGCGUCUGAUACUGGAUGGCUUGAAUUCGGGAGAGGGAUGCAGAAUUCCAGGUGUAGCGGUGAAAUGCGUAGAUAUCGGGAGGAACACCAACGGCGAAGGCAGCACUCUGGGCUGGAACUGACGCUGAGGAGCGAAAGCGUGGGUAGCAAACAGG
rnacentral:rRNA from 1 species